rfam:Drosophila ananassae strain TSC#14024-0371.13 Ctg01_19311, whole genome shotgun sequence.
AAUGUUGCAGUUUCGUUUUGUGACCGACACUAACGGGUAUUUUACAGGACAUACAGGAUUACUCGUUUUUGCGAUCACAAAUCCUGAAAUUGCAGCAA